rnacentral:rRNA from 1 species
AAACGCUUGAAGUCAGUCGCAUCCUUCAGAAAUCAACCUGACCGUCAGGUCUGGUGCACUUUCUGUUUGGAUGGGUCAGCAUCAAUUUUGAUCAUUGGAUAAAGGCCUUGGGAAUGUGGCAUCUUCGGAUGUGUUAUAGACCUUGGUUCAUACGCAAUGGUUGGGAUUGAGGAACUCAGUGCUUGCACUCAGGAUGUUGACAUAAUGGCUUUAAUCGA